rnacentral:rRNA from 1 species
GACAGAGGGGGCAAGCGUUGCUCGGAAUCACUGGGCGUAAAGGGCGCGUAGGCGGGCAGGUAAGUCAGUGGUGAAAUCUCCGGGCUUAACCCGGAAACUGCCGUUGAUACUAUCUGUCUUGAAUAUCGUGGAGGUAAGCGGAAUAUGUCAUGUAGCGGUGAAAUGCUUAGAUAUGACAUAGAACACCCAUUGCGAAGGCAGCUUACUACACGAUCAUUGACGCUGAGGCACGAAAGCGUGGGGAGCAAACAGG